UCAAGAAUUCUGCAUACAGUAGCACGUUUGUAUGAAGGUGUGGUUAUUCACAGGCAAAUUGUAAUAUGCUAUGGAGGUACAUUAGUAUCUUUUUGUCGAGAGCAAAAUGUUUUAUUUUCAAUCAAAAAAUCUGUUCUGAAAGCAACUUUUUUUUCCAACACAAAGGAAGUCAUAGCGGACACCUACGAAGAAGGAUUGUGUGAAGAUGGCAUCUCAGCAUAAAGUACUCUGUAACCACUUAGUGUGGACACCAGGUAGGUUUUGAUGUGAGAGAGGAAGCCAGUCCCGUCAUCUCCUCCUCACCCACUCUUAAGAUAAGAUAACCUACGGGCCAACUGGGAGCCCAAGGCUGGUUAGGAGAUACCGCUAGAGACCCUAUGUAAUUGUGAUGAACUGAGAGAAUAUUAGGGUAGCACUGUAAUUCAUUAAUCAUAUGCUGUCUGCCUCUGUUCUUACCUUUCCCUUUCUGUCUUCUACAUCUCUCUCCCCACCUCAUCGUUGUUCCUCUUUUUUUUUAUAGUGCACACCAUACAGUUGGGAGAACAAGUAUUUGAUACACUGCCGAUUUUGCAGGUUUUCCUACUUACAAAGCAUGUAGUGGUCUGUAAUUUGUAUCAUAGGUACACUUCAACUGUGAGAGA